rnacentral:tRNA from 1 species
UGUUCUGUAGCUUAGUUGGUUAAAGCGCCAGUCUAGCAUAAACGGAAACGUAAUUUCGAAUCUCACUAGAACAC